CCUACGGGACGCAGCAGUGGGGAAUAUUGCACAAUGGGCGCAAGCCUGAUGCAGCCAUGCCGCGUGUGCGAAGAAGGCCUUCGGGUUGUAAAGCACUUUCAGCGGGGAGGAAGGCGGUGAGGUUAAUAACCUCACCGAUUGACGUUACCCGCAGAAGAAGCACCGGCUAACUCCAUGCCAGCAGCCGCGGUAAUACGGAGGGUGCAAGCGUUAAUCGGAAUUACUGGGCGUAAAGCGCACGCAGGCGGUCUGUCAAGUCGGAUGUGAAAUCCCCGGGCUCAACCUGGGAACUGCAUUCGAAACUGGCAGGCUAGAGUCUUGUAGAGGGGGGUAGAAUUCCAGGUGUAGCGGUGAAAUGCGUAGAGAUCAGGAGGAAUACCGGUGGCGAAGGCGGCCCCCUGGACAAAGACUGACGCUCAGGUGCGAAAGCGUGGGGAGCAAACAGGAUUAGAUACCCUCGUAGUC
rnacentral:rRNA from 1 species